GUUGAUGAGAAGGGCAGAAGGUGUUGUGUAUUGAAACAUAUUGCUUAGAUUUUUUACUACAUUGUAAGAAAUCACUACACUCAUAGACUUUUUAAUCUACAUACUGUAGUUGUUAAAUGAGUUGUAUUGAUAUAUAACUCGAGUGGAAUUUUCAGAAGUAGCUAAUACACUAGAUGAAAUCAAUUAUAACAACUGCAUAGAGGAUUUUGUCUUAAUAUCUGCUAGACUGCUGUCUGCCUGUCUUUGACCAUAAUAUCAGGCUGCUGGAAUGCCACCUGUACCGGUAUAUUGGAAACUUGUAUUACUUACAUGUUGCAAACAUCACUAGUUCACUACCUACAGCUUAUUAUUCAAUUAUGUAAUUUUUUCUCAUUUUCUCCCUUUCUGUUUUUCCUUUCUUUCUUUCUCUUUACUUUUUUUCUUUUGAGACUUUUAAGUUUUACCCUCCAUUUUUU
rnacentral:lncRNA from 1 species